rnacentral:rRNA from 1 species
AAUCAACGCUGGCGGCGUGCCUCAGACAUGCAAGUCGAACGAUUAAAGCUCUCUUCGGAGAGUGUAUAGAGUGGCGCACGGGUGAGUAACACGUAAGUAAUCUACCCUCGAGUGGGGAAUAACGUCCGGAAACGGACGCUAAUACCGCAUAAUGCAGCGGCACCGCAAGGUGACAGUUGUUAAAGAUUUAUCGCUUGAGGAGGAGCUUGCGGCAGAUUAGCUAGUUGGUAAGGUAAUGGCUUACCAAGGCUACGAUCUGUAACCGGUCUAAGAGGACGGUCGGUCAC